rnacentral:rRNA from 1 species
UACGUAGGGUGCAAGCGUUGUCCGGAAUUAUUGGGCGUAAAGAGCUCGUAGGCGGUUUGUCGCGUCGGCUGUGAAAACCUGGGGCUCAACCCCGGGCCUGUAGCCGAUACGGGCAAACUAGAAUUCGGUAGGGGAGACUGGAAUUCCUGGUGUAGCGGUGAAAUGCGCAGAUAUCAGGAGGAACACCGGUGGCGAAGGCGGGUCUCUGGGCCGAUAUUGACGCUGAGGAGCGAAAGCGUGGGGAGCAAACAGG